UACAGAGGGUGCAAGCGUUGUUCGGAAUUAUUGGGCGUAAAGCGCUGGUAGGUGGCUUGUUAAGUCGCGUGUGAAAGCUCCAGGCUCAACCUGGAAAGUGCGCGCGAAACUGGCGAGCUUGAGUGCCGGAGAGGGUCGCGGAAUUCCCAGUGUAGAGGUGAAAUUCGUAGAUAUUGGGAGGAACACCAGAGGCGAAGGCGGCGACCUGGAAGGUAACUGACACUGAGCAGCGAAAGCGUGGGGAGCAAACAGG
rnacentral:rRNA from 1 species